UACGUAGGGUGCAAGCGUUGUCCGGAAUUAUUGGGCGUAAAGAGCUCGUAGGCGGUCUGUCGCGUCUGCUGUGAAAACUCAGGGCUUAACCCUGAGCUUGCAGUGGGUACGGGCAGACUAGAGUGCGGUAGGGGAGACUGGAAUUCCUGGUGUAGCGGUGAAAUGUGCAGAUAUCAGGAGGAACACCGGUGGCGAAGGCGGGUCUCUGGGCAGUAACUGACGCUGGAGGAGCGAAAAGCCGUGGGGGAGCGAACAGG
rnacentral:rRNA from 1 species